AGAGUUUGAUCCUGGCUCAGGAUGAACGCUAGCGGCAGGCCUAAUACAUGCAAGACGAACGGUAAGGUUGUAGCAAUACGAUCUGAGAGUGUCGUAAGGGUGCGUAACACGUAUGCAAUCUGCCCUCAACAGGAGGAUAGCUCCCCGAAAGGGGAAUUAACACUCCGUAAGAUUGUAGUGUGGCAUCACACAGCAAUUAAAAUUCCGGUGGUUGAGGAUGAGCAUGCGCAUGAUUAGUUAGUUGGCGGGGUAACGGCCCACCAAGACGAUGAUCAUAGGGGAACUGAGAGGUUGAUCCCCCACACUGGCACUGAGAUACGGGCCAGACUCCUACGGGAGGCAGCAGUAGGGAAUAUUGGACAAUGGGUGCGAGCCUGAUCCAGCCAUGCCGCGUGCAGGAAGACGGCCUUCUGGGUUGUAAACUGCUUUUGCCAGGGGAUAAAAAGUCCCUGCGGGGAAAAUUGAAGGUACCUGGUGAAUAAGCCACGGCUAACUACGUGCCAGCAGCCGCGGUAAUACGUAGGUGGCAAGCGUUGUCCGGAUUUAUUGGGUUUAAAGGGUGCGUAGGUUGUUUUGUAAGUCAGUGGUGAAAUCCGGCAGCUCAACUGUCGAUGUGCCAUUGAUACUGCAGAACUUGAGUACAGACGAGGUAGGCGGAAUUGACGGUGUAGCGGUGAAAUGCUUAGAUAUCGUCAAGAACACCGAUAGCGAAGGCAGCUUACUAGACUGUAACUGACACUGAUGCACGAAAGUGUGGGGAUCAAACAGGAUUAGAUACCCUGGUAGUCCACACUGUAAACGAUGAUUACUCGAUGUUGGCGAUACACGGCCAGCGUCUUAGCGAAAGCGAUAAGUAUAUACGCACCUGGGGAGUACGCCCGCAAGGGUGAAACUCAAAGGAAUGACGG
rnacentral:rRNA from 1 species